rnacentral:rRNA from 1 species
CGAAAACGAAUUCUCUCUUGAGUGGAUCCUGAGUACGACGGAGCACGUGAAAUUCCGUCGGAAUCUGGGAGGACCAUCUCCUAAGGCUAAAUACUCUCUAGUGACCGAUAGUGAACCAGUACCGUGAGGGAAAGGUGAAAAGUACCCCGGAAGGGGAGUGAAAGAGAACUUGAAACCGUGUGCUUACAAGUAGUCAGAGCCCGUUAAUGGGUGAUGGCGUGCCUUUUGUAGAAUGAACCGGCGAGUUACGAUCUGAUGCAAGGUUAAGCAGAAAAUGUGGAGCCGUAGCGAAAGCGAGUCUGAAUAGGGCGAAUGAGUAUUUGGUCGUAGACCCGAAACCAGGUGAUCUACCCUUGGUCAGGUUGAAGUUCAGGUAACACUGAAUGGAGGACCGAACCGACUUACGUUGAAAAGUGAGCGGAUGAACUGAGGGUAGCGGAGAAAUUCCAAUCGAACUUGGAGAUAGCUGGUUCUCUCCGAAAUAGCUUUAGGGCUAGCCUCAAGUGAUGAUUAUUGGAGGUAGAGCACUGUUUGGACGAGGGGCCCCUCUCGGGUUACCGAAUUCAGACAAACUCCGAAUGCCAAAUAAUUUAACUUGGGAGUCAGAAUGUGGGUGAUAAGGUCCAUAUUCGAAAGGGAAACAGCCCAGACCACCAGCUAAGGUCCCAAAAUAUAUGUUAAGUGGAAAAGGAUGUGGCGUUGCCCAGACAACUAGGAUGUUGGCUUAGAAGCAGCCAUCAUUUAAAGAGUGCGUAAUAGCUCACUAGUCGAGUGACACUGCGC